AAAUUGAAGAGUUUGAUCAUGGCUCAGAUUGAACGCUGGCGGCAGGCCUAACACAUGCAAGUCGAGCGGAAACGAGUUAUAGGUAAGGGCUCACCAAGGCGACGAUCCCUAGCUGGUCUGAGAGGAUGAUCAGCCACACUGGAACUGAGACACGGUCCAGACUCCUACGGGAGGCAGCAGUGGGGAAUAUUGCACAAUGGGCGCAAGCCUGAUGCAGCCAUGCCGCGUGUGUGAAGAAGGCCUUCGGGUUGUAAAGCACUUUCAGUCGUGAGGAAGGUAGUGUAGUUAAUAGCUGCAUUAUUUGACGUUAGCGACAGAAGAAGCACCGGCUAACUCCGUGCCAGCAGCCGCGGUAAUACGGAGGGUGCGAGCGUUAAUCGGAAUUACUGGGCGUAAAGCGCAUGCAGGUGGUUUGUUAAGUCAGAUGUGAAAGCCCGGGGCUCAACCUCGGAAUUGCAUUUGAAACUGGCAGACUAGAGUACUGUAGAGGGGGGUAGAAUUUCAGGUGUAGCGGUGAAAUGCGUAGAGAUCUGAAGGAAUACCGGUGGCGAAGGCGGCCCCCUGGACAGAUACUGACACUCAGAUGCGAAAGCGUGGGGAGCAAACAGGAUUAGAUACCCUGGUAGUCCACGCCGUAAACGAUGUCUACUUGGAGGUUGUGGCCUUGAGCCGUGGCUUUCGGAGCUAACGCGUUAAGUAGACCGCCUGGGGAGUACGGUCGCAAGAUUAAAACUCAAAUGAAUUGACGGGGGCCCGCACAAGCGGUGGAGCAUGUGGUUUAAUUCGAUGCAACGCGAAGAACCUUACCUACUCUUGACAUCCAGAGAACUUUCCAGAGAUGGAUUGGUGCCUUCGGGAACUCUGAGACAGGUGCUGCAUGGCUGUCGUCAGCUCGUGUUGUGAAAUGUUGGGUUAAGUCCCGCAACGAGCGCAACCCUUAUCCUUGUUUGCCAGCGAGUAAUGUCGGGAACUCCAGGGAGACUGCCGGUGAUAAACCGGAGGAAGGUGGGGACGACGUCAAGUCAUCAUGGCCCUUACGAGUAGGGCUACACACGUGCUACAAUGGCGCAUACAGAGGGCRGCCAACUUGCGAAAGUGAGCGAAUCCCAAAAAGUGCGUCGUAGUCCGGAUUGGAGUCUGCAACUCGACUCCAUGAAGUCGGAAUCGCUAGUAAUCGUGGAUCAGAAUGCCACGGUGAAUACGUUCCCGGGCCUUGUACACACCGCCCGUCACACCAUGGGAGUGGGCUGCAAAAGAAGUAGGUAGUUUAACCUUCGGGGGGACGCUUACCACUUUGUGGUUCAUGACUGGGGUGAAGUCGUAACAAGGUAGCGCUAGGGGAACCUGGCGCUGGAUCACCUCCUUAAACGAUGAU
rnacentral:rRNA from 1 species